GCACCGUUUUGUUGGAAUUGGCUUGGUCUCUGGCUUGUCUUCGGGGAUGCGUUGCUUGCGCCGUGGGGACGAUAAGGACCCAGAGCACAUCCGUUGCAGUCCCUUGCAGUCCCUUGCGAGUUUUCUAUCCAUCACAGAGUUGCAGUUUGCACGAGACUCACCGCCACCCAACAUCCAGCCAGCAGGGGACAGACAGAUAGUGCCACGCCAUCAAUGUUCGGUUGUUAGCAACCCCACCAAAAAUCAUGGGCUUUUGUUUGACGUAGAAUAAUGGUUGGGAUUACAUCGAAUUCAAGCUAAGCCAGUCAUGGGAUGGGAGAAUCGAGAUGCUAAAACGAAUCCAUGGUUUACAUUAUCUUACGUACCUACACAGGCAGGUUAACAAUCUUCGUUGCUACUUUUGUUGCCUUUUCCCAAUUUCCCUAUUUUUACCACCAUAUUUGAGAACAAGCCCAAUUCAAAGAAACGCUACAGAGGAGAUAUGAGAAAGAGUGCUGAAAGCAAUAAGGGAAAAAACGCUAAGAGAGAUAUGGCAGCAAGUUGAGAACCCCCAAUCAUGAUGCAGAAGGGAAGGACAGAACGGACAAAAUAACCAGAACCCAUGCCCUAACAAGAUGACAAAAAAAAAAAAAACCUAAAAAACUAAAAAUAAUGAAAGAAAGAAAGAAAAAGAAAGAAAACGAAAGAAAAUCAUUGCACUACUAUCAAACUAUCGGCGACAUACUCUAGCGGUCACACUCCAAUAGAGCAUAGCAGUACCAUCAUUCUCGGGGUACAUCCCGUGGUAUCAGCCGGAUUCGGAGCCCUCACAGCAUUCCGGGUAUACCCCACCUCUGCCAGUUGACAGGACACACACCGUUCCCAAUAUGCGGCCUCAACAUUCUGACCGCUGAUAUCGUUCCAAACAACGGCUGCGGCAUGGCAAGCGUUUACUAUGAUAUUCCAUGGGUGGAGAUUCUCAAUGAUCGUGACCAUUCCGUGGUUUUCCUGAUGAGAUGAAGUCUAAGUUGCAAAGCCAUGAACUCGACCUCGUUGAUGAGAGGGGCAGUUGCUAUAAAGACAUGGCCAGGAGAAUUACGCAAAAACGUGGAGAGCUCGCCGUCAAGGAUUUUUCAGUGUUCUGAGAGCGGACAUGGGAACUUCACCGGACCUGGGCGCUCCAAAACUGCCGUUUAGAUAGAUGCGGAUUGAUUGUUUCCCUUUAUAAUCGAGUCUGGCCCGGAUUUUUCUCCGGCUUGAAUUCUGUUAUGCGACAAUGAGUCAAGAACAGGAAACCCCAUCCAUCUGCUUGUCCGCGGGUCGUCACAGUCGGAGUCUUUUCGGCGUGGUGUUCUGACACCACUGCGAUUGUGAGAAUUCCGAUCACUUUGCUUCAAUACCUCCAACUUCUAAUCUCACUGGAGGCAGCGGCUGGGAUCGCUGUCUUAUCGGCUGUGGUGCUGACGAUGUUUGUGCAUGUGUUCGAAACCACGGCAUAGGUCCAAACGAGGAUACAAAGAUCCAGAGGAUGCGGAGCAAAUGGAUGUCCUCCAUUGUCUGGGCUUCCCAUUGGCCACUCACAAUGCUAUUACGAUACCAAGCAAACUCGACACCAAUCAAUUCGAAACUUAAAGAAUUAAUAUUAGCGCCAGCACCAGCAAGCAUCGCCCUGCUGAAACCCUGAUCAGGACAGGCUACAUCAACUUGAAUAUCGCACUUACCCAACACCACAGGGCGAGCAAGCAAAACGAAUGACAACACCCACACCCUUUUCCAAAAUCCGAACCAAACAAGAGGUUAAAAAAGAAAGAAAGAACGGAAAAGAAAACCCACUCAAUCCCCCCCUUCCCCAGGCCCCCGUCGCUGAACCACCCUAAGGAAAACAUGAACAACCACCACAAGAGCCACCAACUGGCACACAUGCAUGACCUGCUGCGCUACGAUUUGAACCUGUAACCGCCGCUCCAGGCCCUCUAAUAACCCGACGGGCCGAUAUUCCGUAAUUCGAAGUCGCCGCAGUAGCCCUUCCAGGUAGCCGCCGCGGUAUGGGCUGUCGGCUUGGGCUUCAUCCCGGGCUCGGGCUGUGGCUGUGGUUGUGGCUUGGUCGCUGUCGUCGCUACUAUCAUCGCUGCUGGAAGAUGGGAUAACCUUGUUGUCCAUUUUGGGGGAAUUGGGUUGGGUGUGUGCGGGUUGCUUGGGGUUGUAAGGUGGGGGAGAGGGUCCUGACAAUGGGAUAGAUUAGAUAUAGGAUGUAGAGAUAUUGAAGCGGUUGUAUGUAUGUAGUUAAACGAGCGUGAGGGUUGCAGGAGGGAGGGAUCAUUUCGGGAACCCUUUUUUUUUUUCUUCUUCUUCUUUUUGGUUCUUGGUUUUCGGGGAUGUUAUGUUGCGCGUCUUCGCGAGGAAGGUGCAAAGCAGGAGUGUGGACGUGGACAUGAUUAGAGGAAGGGGCGACGGCGUGUGUAUGCUGUGCAUGUUGAUGUUGUACUGUACCUAAAUAAACAGGAACGGUGCAGGCGCGGACGGACCAGAAGCAGUAAGUUUCAAUACAAUAACCCCACGGAUUUAAGGUAUUUAUUUAUUUAUUUAUUUUUGGAAAACACAUUUCCCCAAACAUAAGCAUGGGCAAGGUAGCUAGCUAACUGACAGAUUUAUUAUUCCUUCGAUUUCCAGGAAAUGCUGAUAGAUGGAUAGAACCGAUAGAUAGAGCGUUCGAUAUCCCGACCCGACCCCCAAAACCCUCCACAACUAUCUCUUUUCAUGGGCCCCUAAAGCGUAUUAAAAAGAAAGAAGAAAAAAAAUGGGGAAAGAAAAGAAAAGGAAAGAAAAAAUAAAGAAAGAAUAGAAAAACAUGCCCAGCCUCCAUUUUGGUUCCGGUUUUUGUGCCGUUCCUUUUUUUUGUUUUGCCGGGGGGGAAACAUACACCCUUUUUGAAAAAAAAAAGAAAAGAAAAGAAAAACACCCCGAGGAAUCAAUCGUGGCUGGUCGACCAAACCGAAAAACAAAGAUCUGUAGAGAAGGGGGAAACGAAAACGAAAGGGAACUCCCCGAAAGAUCAAAAAUUAAAAAAAAAAAUCUUUGUCAAAUAGUACUACUGUACACGACAUGCUAUGCUACAUGCUUUGAAAAGAAGAAGAAGAAGAAGAAACGUGAUGUGUUUUUUCCAUUUUCUAUCAUUUCAUUUUCGCGUCCUUGAUCGUGCACUUCACGCGGCCGUCGCCCACUGGACGACCUUGAGCGCAAGGAUGACGAGGAGGAGGGUGGAGGGGAGGAUCCUGUUGUUAUCGUUGCUUCGUCGUUAGGAUGCACGUACGCUUCCAAAAAAAUAUACCCUAGAGAAGAAAGAAAAAGAGAAGAAAGAAAGAAAGAAACCCACCAGACAACAUAGCUCUGGAACAGCAGCCGGGCCAUCGCGCCCAUGUACACGUUGUUCAGCUGGCAGAUCUGCGCCAGCUGCAACGCGGACGGCGCGCCAGCGAGCAGGAAGCACACGACCACGAAGAUGGGGUCGUCCAGGAUGCUGACGGAGACGAAUUUGGCGGCCAGCGCGAGCAGGGGGCCCAUGAUCAAGGUGGGCAGCAACAUGCGCGCGAGC
rnacentral:sRNA from 1 species